CGGGAUGUGACGCAGUUUAGUAGCGCGCUUAGCUGGAGGUGAAGUGGUCGUCGGUUUAAAUCUGACCAUCCCGA
rnacentral:tRNA from 1 species